GAUGAACGCUGGCGGUGUGCCUAAUACAUGCAAGUCGAGCGAACAGAUGAGAAGCUUGCUUCUCUGAUGUUAGCGGCGGACGGGUGAGUAACACGUGGGUAACCUACCUAUAAGACUGGGAUAACUCCGGGAAACCGGGGCUAAUACCGGAUAAUAUUUUGAACCGCAUGGUUCAAUAGUGAAAGACGGUUUCGGCUGUCACUUAUAGAUGGACCCGCGCCGUAUUAGCUAGUUGGUAAGGUAACGGCUUACCAAGGCGACGAUACGUAGCCGACCUGAGAGGGUGAUCGGCCACACUGGAACUGAGACACGGUCCAGACUCCUACGGGAGGCAGCAGUAGGGAAUCUUCCGCAAUGGGCGAAAGCCUGACGGAGCAACGCCGCGUGAGUGAUGAAGGUCUUCGGAUCGUAAAACUCUGUUGUUAGGGAAGAACACGUACGAGAGGAAAUGCUCGUACCUUGACGGUACCUUACGAGAAAGCCACGGCUAACUACGUGCCAGCCGCCGCGGUAACAC
rnacentral:rRNA from 1 species